UUGAAGAGUUUGAUCAUGGCUCAGAUUGAACGCUGGCGGCAGGCCUAACACAUGCAAGUCGAACGGUAACAGGAAGCAGCUUGCUGCUUCGCUGACGAGUGGCGGACGGGUGAGUAAUGUCUGGGAAACUGCCUGAUGGAGGGGGAUAACUACUGGAAACGGUGGCUAAUACCGCAUAACGUCGCAAGACCAAAGAGGGGGACCUUCGGGCCUCUUGCCAUCAGAUGUGCCCAGAUGGGAUUAGCUUGUUGGUGAGGUAACGGCUCACCAAGGCGACGAUCCCUAGCUGGUCUGAGAGGAUGACCAGCCACACUGGAACUGAGACACGGUCCAGACUCCUACGGGAGGCAGCAGUGGGGAAUAUUGCACAAUGGGCGCAAGCCUGAUGCAGCCAUGCCGCGUGUAUGAAGAAGGCCUUAGGGUUGUAAAGUACUUUCAGCGGGGAGGAAGGUGUUGCGGUUAAUAACCGCAGCAAUUGACGUUACCCGCAGAAGAAGCACCGGCUAACUCCGUGCCAGCAGCCGCGGUAAUACGGAGGGUGCAAGCGUUAAUCGGAAUUACUGGGCGUAAAGCGCACGCAGGCGGUCUGUCAAGUCGGAUGUGAAAUCCCCGGGCUCAACCUGGGAACUGCAUUCGAAACUGGCAGGCUUGAGUCUUGUAGAGGGGGGUAGAAUUCCAGGUGUAGCGGUGAAAUGCGUAGAGAUCUGGAGGAAUACCGGUGGCGAAGGCGGCCCCCUGGACAAAGACUGACGCUCAGGUGCGAAAGCGUGGGGAGCAAACAGGAUUAGAUACCCUGGUAGUCCACGCCGUAAACGAUGUCUACUUGGAGGUUGUGCCCUUGAGGCGUGGCUUCCGGAGCUAACGCGUUAAGUAGACCGCCUGGGGAGUACGGCCGCAAGGUUAAAACUCAAAUGAAUUGACGGGGGCCCGCACAAGCGGUGGAGCAUGUGGUUUAAUUCGAUGCAACGCGAAGAACCUUACCUGGUCUUGACAUCCACAGAAGAAUCCAGAGAUGGAUUUGUGCCUUCGGGAAC
rnacentral:rRNA from 1 species